UAUUCUCCUUUAUCUGUUCAGGGAUUCGUUCUUCUUCUCCACACGCUCCCUGCACAAACAAGAAAAGAAAAGGGAAGGAAGAUUGAUUCGUUUCAUAGACAAACGUAUUUUCUUAUCGUCGCCUCCCUCCAAAUAUUUCCCAUCCAAAUCCACCCUACGAAAAUUAAUUCUCCCCUUUUAGCACUCAAUCUCUCUCUCUGUCACACUCACACAUAUGUUGCAAAAAGGCAUAAUAUAAUCCCAUUUCUUUCUUUGAGGCCUCAAGGUUUCCCUCUGCUUCUCUCCUCUCCUAUCAGAUACCAAAAGAAACAGACACCCACAAACACCACCCAUUCUCUCUCUCUCUCUCUCUCUCUGUUUCUUAAUAUAUGAUCAAACAUUUUCUCUCCCUUUCCACUCCACAACCCCAACAAGAUUUUGAUUCCUAUCGAGAAAAUCAAGAAAUUCUUACUUUCUUUAACCCUUAUAGCAUCUUUGUUUCCUUACUUAUUUAUUCUACCCAUUUCACCAACAACGCACCAACAAAUCGAGAAACCAUGAAGGUGCAUCCAUUACCCAAGAAGAGAAACAACAUAACAAUCCAAUUCUACGAUCAUAGAGGAGACCCUUUAGUAUCAUCUUCUGGUGGGUCCCAACACAAGAAACUCAGGAGGCUACCCCACAUAUUCAGCCGGGUCUUGGAACUCCCCUUCCGGUCAGAUGCUGACGUUUCGGUUGAGGAAAAUCCUGAUUGCUUUCGAUUUGUUGCUGAAACAGAUAAUAACAUCGGUGAAGUGAGGGCCCACACCGUUGAAAUCUAUCCUGGAGUAACUAAAAUUGUGAUUAGGCCAAAUGGGUAUCUAGAAUUAUCUCCAAUUGAUGAUUUGGAGUUGGAUAUGUGGAGGUUCCGGUUGCCAGAAACCACCAGGCCGGAGCUUGCGAGUGCGGUUCUGGCUGACGGAGAGUUGAUUGUGACGGUUCCGAAAGGAGAGGAAGUGGAGGAGGAAGGGAAUGGUAAUAAUAACAAUGGCGAAUUUAGAGGAGCUUCUGGAAGCUAGUUUCUUAAGGUGGUUGGGACUGGGAUUUGUGUGCUUACCAUUGUCAUUGAUGAUUAAUAAAAUAGUCGAGGUGCUAGAUGGUUUUUCAUUUUGAUUCAGUGUUGAUAUUAUAUGAUCGUGGGGAAUGGUGCAUACACAUAGCCGACCCCAACUGGUUUGCGAUUGAGGUGUGAUUGUUGUUGUUAGUAUUAGUGAGAGCUUUGGUUGGGUGUUCGGACUUGGUUUUAAGCAUUGUAGCUUCAGUGUCAAAUGUGGUUUUAGACAACAAGAGGAGCAGGCAUGAAUGCCAUGAAUGGUACAUGUGAAAUGGCUUUUCGUUUAUGUUAGAUUAAGAAUUGAAUUGAG